rnacentral:rRNA from 1 species
CAGAGGGUGCUAGCGUUAAUCGGAUUUACUGGGCGUAAAGCGUGUGUAGGCGGUUCGUUAAGUCGGGUGUGAAAUCCCUGGGCUCAACCCGGGAAUUGCAUUCGAUACUGGCGAGCUAGAGUACGGUAGAGGGCGGCGGAAUUCCGGGUGUAGCGGUGAAAUGCGUAGAUAUCCGGAGGAACACCGAUGGCGAAGGCAACCGCCUGGGCCUGUACUGACGCUGAGACACGAAAGCGUGGGGAGCAAACAGGAUUAGAUACCCUGGUAGUCCACGCCGUAAACGAUGAGAACUUGACGUCGGUUUGCCCUGCGAAUCGGUGUCGAAGCUAACGCGCUAAGUUCUCCGCCUGGGGAGUACGGCCGCAAGGUUG